rnacentral:rRNA from 1 species
UGCAAGUCGAGGGGUAGAGGAAGCUUGCUUCCUUGAGACCGGCGCACGCGUUGCGUAACGCGUAUGCAAUCUACCUUAUACAGGGGAAUAGCCCAGAGAAAUUUGGAUUAAUGCCCCAUAGUGUUAUUGAAUCGCAUGGUUUAAUAACUAAAGUUCCAACGGUAUAAGAUGAGCAUGCGUCCCAUUAGUUAGUUGGUAAGGUAACGGCUUACCAAGACAAUGAUGGGUAGGGGUCCUGAGAGGGAGAUCCCCCACACUGGUACUGAGACACGGACCAGACUCCUACGGGAGGCAGCAGUGAGGAAUAUUGGUCAAUGGGCGCAAGCCUGAACCAGCCAUGCCGCGUGCAGGAAGACGGUCCUAUGGAUUGUAAACUGCUUUUAUACAGGAAGAAACCCUCCCACGUGUGGGAGAUUGACGGUACUGUAGGAAUAAGGAUCGGCUAACUCCGUGCCAGCAGCCGCGGUAAUACGGAGGAUCCAAGCGUUAUCCGGAAUCAUUGGGUUUAAAGGGUCCGUAGGCGGUCUUAUAAGUCAGUGGUGAAAUCCCAUCGCUCAACGAUGGAACUGCCAUUGAUACUGUAAGACCUGAAUACUUAGGAAGUAACUAGAAUAUGUAGUGUAGCGGUGAAAUGCUUAGAUAUUACAUGGAAUACCAAUUGCGAAGGCAGGUUACUACUAAGUGAUUGACGCUGAUGGACGAAAGCGUGGGGAGCGAACAGGAUUAGAUACCCUGGUAGUCCACGCCGUAAACGAUGGAUACUAGCUGUUCGGAGCAAUCUGAGUGGCUAAGCGAAAGUGAUAAGUAUCCCACCUGGGGAGUACGCACGCAAGUGUGAAACUCAAAGGAAUUGACGGGGGCCCGCACAAGCGGUGGAGCAUGUGGUUUAAUUCGAUGA